UUAAUAUUAUAAAUUUGCGAUCAGACAAAGUAAUUAAAUAAACGAAUAAAAGUAACUAGAUAACAUUGCAUAGUAGUACUUGGUAAUAAGGAGUAAUGUAAAGGAAAUUUCAAAUCCAACAAAUUUUAUAGGAAAGGUUAAAAAAAAGAAGAGGAGAAAGACAUGAAAAAAAACAGUUAUGAUAAAAAAUACAACAGCCUAUUUCGUCUCCAAUUCUUCCUCUAUUAUUGAUUCUGCUUCAGAAAUUAUCCAGAAAAAGGUUGUGUGCUUAAUGAUAGCAUUGUGUGAACGGAUCAAUGAGUACAUCUGCUCUGGGGAGACCAUCUUCAGGCAAAAGAAGAUUGAAAGAUCUCUUAAGUCAAAGUGAUAAUCGUGUAUGUGCAGAUUGUGGGGCUCCUGACCCAAAAUGGGC